CCUUACCAGGUCUUGACAUCUCCUGACCGCCCUGGAGACAGGGUCUUCCCUUCGGGGACAGGAUGACAGGUGGUGCAUGGUUGUCGUCAGCUCGUGUCGUGAGAUGUUGGGUUAAGUCCCGCAACGAGCGCAACCCUUGGUUCUAGUUGCCAGCAUUCAGUUGGGCACUCUAGAGCGACUGCCGGCGACAAGUCGGAGGAAGGUGGGGAUGACGUCAAAUCAUCAUGCCCCUUAUGACCUGGGCUACACACGUGCUACAAUGGAUGGUACAAAGGGCAGCGAAGCGGCGACGCAUAAGCGAAUCCCAGAAAACCAUUCUCAGUUCGGAUUGCAGGCUGCAACUCGCCUGCAUGAAGCCGGAAUCGCUAGUAAUCGCGGAU
rnacentral:rRNA from 1 species